rnacentral:rRNA from 1 species
AACGCGUGAGGAACCUGCCUCAAAGAGGGGGACAACNNUUGGAAACGACUGCUAAUACCGCAUAAGCCCACGGCUCGGCAUCGAGCAGAGGGAAAAGGAGCAAUCCGCUUUGAGAUGGCCUCGCGUCCGAUUAGCUAGUUGGUGAGGUAACGGCCCACCAGGGCGACGAUCGGUAGCCGGACUGAGAGGUUGAACGGCCACAUUGGGACUGAGACACGGCCCAGACUCCUACGGGAGGCAGCAGUGGGGAAUAUUGCACAAUGGGGGAAACCCUGAUGCAGCGACGCCGCGUGGAGGAAGAAGGUCUUCGGAUUGUAAACUCCUGUUGUUGAGGAAGAUAAUGACGGUACUCAACAAGGAAGUGACGGCUAACUACGUGCCAGCAGCCGCGGUAAAACGUAGGUCACAAGCGUUGUCCGGAAUUACUGGGUGUAAAGGGAGCGCAGGCGGGAGAACAAGUUGGAAGUGAAAUCCAUGGGCUCAACCCAUGAACUGCUUUCAAAACUGUUUUUCUUGAGUAGUGCAGAGGUAGGCGGUAUUCCCGGUGUAGCGGUGGAAUGCGUAGAUAUCGGGAGGAACACCAGUGGCGAAGGCGGCCUACUGGGCACCAACUGACGCUGAGGCUCGAAAGUGUGGGUAGCAAACAGGAUUAGAUACCCUGGUAGUCCACACCGUAAACGAUGAUUACUAGGUGU